UAGAACAGAAUGAAGCCCUUCCACCGCUUCCUCAGAUGAAGUAUGUCACAGGAAUGUGUCUCCUCCAUGAAUGUAAAGAUUACUAUAAUCUUUUUAGCUCCUUUUUUUGGGGUAUUCCUGCUCAAAUUCACUUCUUAGCUCCAAUCUGCUCCACAACUGAGCCAAAGGGGACAGAUUCUCACCCCAUAGUCACUACUGCUGCUGGCCCGUUUUCCUGAGACCCUCCCGCAAGCAGGCUGCCACCUUUGGUUAGUUCUGGCUGCACUCCUUUCAACAAUACUCGGUAGAACAGCAGAAGAUACUUGGUAACGGCCAGUGCUGCCAAGAUCCUCGCCACCAGUUUGGACUCUGCUCUGGCUCUGCUGCUACUACGUUCCAGUUCCGCAGGUUCCAGUUAAAGAAGUCAGUUCUGGACCCACUACUCAGGAGGCCAGAACAGAAAGGAGAUAACGGGAAAGGUCAAGAAGAGGGAAGGUCCAGGAGAACACAUUGGAAGGCAUGUGGAGAGUCUUUCCAGCAUGGCAUUGAAAACACAAAGACUGUUGCGAAGAAACAGUACAAGAUAAAGUACCCUGCAAGAGGAUAUGAAGGAUGGGAUUUCUGUGACACAAGCCUCAACUUCUUACUUGAUCACAUUUAUACCCGACACAGUCAAGCUACUGAUAAAGAUCCUGUUGUUACUUUGAGCAGGAUGAUGCUUGCAGUAAUCAAAUUUAUCUAAGAGCUAAGGCUCUGUCUGGGUUUAGAUAAGGAGUUUUGAUUCUUUGCCACUUGAUAGCAACAUGACCUUCAGUAACAUAAUGGUAAGUUUCAGUUUGUUUUUUCAGUAGGAUGGAUAAGUUCCUGAUUCCUAGGAUAGUUAUAAG